UCCCUCUGGCAAUGGGCAAAGAGACACCUUGUUGGUGGUAUUGUUCUUAUAUCAGUCAGGGACAGAGCAGAUGGCAAUCUUUUUUUCACGAUAGCUUGAUGCCUGGUUAGGUGGCCAAAUCUGUCUUAUGCUUAGGACUCAUAA